UUCCCAUCUGUGGAGUAUCUGUUCUUAUCAGUUUAAUAUCUGAUACGUCAUCUAUCCGAGGACAAUAUAUUAAAUAGAUUUUUGGAGUAGGGAGUUGGAAUAGGAGCUUGCUCCAUCCACUCCACGCAUCAACCUGGUAUUGCAUUACCUCUAGGAACAGUGCACCCUCCCCACUAAAGUAGUAAAUAAAAGAUUUGUUUAGUUAAAAAAAAAAAAAAGUACAGCUGACCCUCAAACACGAUGGGUUCAA